GUCCACAACAUCUUACCCCUCCCGGUGCCUAUGUAAGGUGUGUGGGGUGACUUGUCAUUAGUGAUGCCCAGAGGACAAAGUGAAGCUAUUGAUGCCUCAGCCCAGCUGGGGGACAUUUGUGAGUGAAGUUGAUCCUGAACCUGACCCCAGCCCAGUGGACAUGUCUCAUUAGACGGCAGUGCCCUUGGUGGUAGGUGAGAACAGGUUGGAGCAGGUUGGGUGAGUGCCCCAAAUGCAGUCAAGUGACUUAGUGGGAUAGGUCUUCUAAGACUCUGAGAUAUCAGGGUAGUCUGGGACAGUCUGUCAGGUUCGUUUCUAAUGUGUCUUUUGUGGCCCUGGCCCAGGCUCAGCAUUUCACCCAGUGUCUCAAGACUCUGUUCAGCGUGCUCAACUAUGAACGGACAAAACAUACUAACCUUCUGGGGGCUUCUGUACUGGGCCUGAAUGAUGUCUACAGGACCUGGCGGGCCUUUGUACUGCAUGUACGCACUCUGAACCCGGCACCCAGGAUGUACUUUGUUAAGGCAGAUGUGACCGGGGCAUAUGAUGCCAUCCCGCAGGAGAAGCUUGUGGAGGUUGUUGCCAAUAUGAUCAGACACCCGGAGAACACAUACUGUAUCCGCCAAUAUGCAGUGAUCCAAAGAGAUAGAGAAGGCCAAAUCCACAGGUCCUUCAGGAGACAGGUGAGGCUAUGGUGGACUUUUCAUCUGUGCUGUGAGCAUGCUGGUGGCACAGGGCUUUUCAUGUCGUGAAUAUCUGGACUCUUUCAGUGACACAGGUAAGGCUGUGAUAGGUCCACAUUUCUGGCAUGUCCAUACAAGGACAUGUCUGUGGCUUGGGUAUCCAUGGUGCCAGUGAUCAUUUGUCAGACCCCAGCGUGCCUCCCUCUACAGGACUCCCAAUGGAGAUCCCCCCAAUAUCCUCUUCAGUAGGUAGGUGGGGUCUGUGGGUUCAAAGGCAGAGGAAUUUAGGCCUGGGAGAGGCGCAAGGUGACUUCCUUUCCCUAUAUAUAGGACAUACAAGACUCACAGGCAAGCUUUAACUAUACAUGCAUGAUAUGUGCAGUGGCCAUGUGGCUUCUGCACCAAGGAUCACUACACCCAGGCGAUUCCUUCCCUACUCUGGUCAGAGCAGCUACCAUUGUGCCUCUGUAGAGGCUAGAUGACAGCAUGUGUGAGUUAUUUUCUCCAUCCACUACAUGGGUCUGGGGAUUGCACUUAAGUCCUUAGGUUUGGUGGUAGGUGUCUUUACUUGCUUAGCCAUUACACCAAUCCCAAGGAAACACCUGAAGUUAUACAUUUCUCUGCAAGACCCCUCAGUAGUCCCGUACACAUGCUGGCUUUUGUCAGUUCAUUAUCACUCAGUUCAAAACCUUCUCUAUUUAUUUAUUUAUUGCAGUUUUUGAUAUACUCUUUAGUGAUUUAGAAGCAUGUUACUUCAUUAUUUUGAAAAUGCAGGCAUUUUCUAUUUAUAUUGCUAUUUUUUUCUUUAUUAAUAAAUUUUUAUUUAAAUUAAAAACAAUCUUAUUUUACAUACCAAUCCCGGUUCCCUCUCCCUCCCCCCACCAACUCCUCAUCCCACCCCCCACCCACUCCCCAGGGAUGGUGAGGCCUCCCAUGGGGGUUCAUUAGAGUCUGUAACAUCAUUUGGGGCAGGACCUAGGCCCCCCUACCCCCCCCCCCCGGUGUAUCUAGGCUGAGAGAAUAUCCCUCCAUAAGGAAUGGGUUCCCAAAGUCCAUUUGUGCACUAGGGAUAAAUACUGGUUCCACUGCCAGCUGCCUCAUAGACAGCCCAGACCUCCGAACUGACACCCACAUUCAGGGGAUCUGGUUCAGUCCUAUGCUGGUUCCCCAGCUGUCAGACUGGGGUCUGUGAGCUCCCUCUUGCUCAGGUCAUAUUGCUAUUCUUUUCUAGGUUAAUUCUUGUACUUUAAUUUCUCUGGGUGACUUUACUCCUAGUACUAUAGCAAACCAACUUGGCACAUGGGUUUUUGGGGUUUUUUUGUGCUACUACUAUAUGUUAAUUGUACAUAAUAAUGGGUUUUGUUAUGACAUCUUUAUGCACAAGUAUAAUGCAUUUUGACCAUAUUCAUACACGCAGCCUAACAUGGGAAAUUAUAAGGUUCAAAGCCAGUGUGCAGUCUCCACAUAUGAGAGCAUGAAACAGAAGUAUUGCAAGUUUGAGGACAGCCAGCAUUACUCAGAGACCCCAGUGUUCACACGUCUGGACGUCUUACACCUAGCAUGCUAGGAAUUGUUCCUGUGCUGUCAGUAGAUGGUGCUGUAUUCCUUCUGGUGACAUCGUGUCUAGAGACAUGGAUCUUGGUGGCCACUGGAUAAAAAGCAGGCAUCCUAAAGAGUCUGUUGCAGGAGAUGAAGGAGCCAUCCCCUCCCUAAUCCUGUCAGCUCUUCCUCCUGACUGCCGCUGUCUCUGUGGAGAAGUUGGGAUGCUACUUGUGUUGUGACCAUCGGUAACCACAGCAUUAUGGGGGUGUCUGACCCAAGGAGAGCUGACUGUGGUGCAACCUGCUGUUUCUGUGGCUCUUCCUGCUAGGGUGCUAGAUUCUCCCUUUUCCUGUUAAGACUCUAGGAUGGAGUGGUCCCACAUUGUUCUGUUGUUGAACUGUGCUGUGACAGUCCUGGCCAGAAAACCAUGUGCCCCUCUGGUUCCCCUCAAGUGUUCACCUCCUCUGUGCUGCAGGUCUCCACCCUCUCUGACCUCCAGCCACACAUGGGCCAGUUCGUGAGGCAUCUUCAGGACUCAGAUACCAGUGCGCUGAGGAACUCCGUUGUCAUUGAGCAGGUCCUUGGGCUCCCCAUUAAUCGGCCGCACCUGGUGGGGCCUUCCUCCUCUACUUGGCUAUUUGCUUCAGUGUAGGAAUGUGACCAAGGUAUUCCUUGGUGGAGAGUUCCCAUGACCAAGGCCACUCUUUCCUGGUGGCAGUCCCCAUCCCUAUGACAUGACCUAGACUCCCCAAUAGCUACUAAGGUGGGCAUGCUCUGAAGUGCCCUGC
rnacentral:lncRNA from 1 species